GGGUGAGUAACACGUGAAGGCAACCUCGCCCUAGGCUUUGGGAUCAACCCUAACGGGACAACCGGGGGCUAAUACCGGAUAGGACCUGGCGUCGCAUGGCGCUUGGAAUAAGGAAAUGUUUUUCGGCCCCGAUGGGCAGCUGGGCUCCGGCGGCCUUUAUUACAGGCUUGUUGGGGGGUGGGGUGACUGCCCGCCUACCAAGGGGGGCGACGAGCGGGUAGCCCCGGCCUUAGAGAGGGGCGACCCGGCCCCCACACUGGGGACUGGAGGACACCGGCCUCAGAAUCUCCUACGGGAGGCCAGCCAGUGGGGUAAUAUUUGCAACAAUGGGGNGGAAAGCCUUGAUGCAAGCGACGCCCGCCGUGAGGGAUGACCGGCCUUCGGGGUUGUAAAACCUCUUUCAGCAGGGGACGAAGCCGCAAGUGAACGGUACCUGCAGAAGAAGCGGCCGGCCAACUAACGUGCCAGCAGCCGCGGUAAGACGUAGGGCGCGAGCGUUGUUCCGGAUUUAUUGGGCGUAAAGAGCUCGUAGGCGGCUUGUCGCGUCGACUGUGAAAACCCGCGGCUCAACUGCGGGCCUGCAGUCGAUACGGGCAGGCUAGAGUUCGGUAGGGGAGACUGGAAUUCCUGGUGUAGCGGUGAAAUGCGCAGAUAUCAGGAGGAACACCGGUGGCGAAGGCGGGUCUCUGGGCCGAUACUGACGNUGAGGAGUGAAAGCGUGGGGAGCGAACAGGAUUAGAUACCCUGGUAGUCCACGCUGUAAACGUUGGGCGCUAGGUGUGGGGGGCCUCUCCGGUUCUCUGUGCCGCAGCUAACGCAUUAAGCGCCCCGCCUGGGGAGUACGGCCGCAAGGCUAAAACUCAAAGGAAUUGACGGGGGCCCGCACAAGCGGCGGAGCAUGCGGAUUAAUUCGAUGCAACGCGAAGAACCUUAGCGGGGGUUUGACAUGGCCGCCAAAACCGGCAGAGAUGUCUGGGUCCUUCCGGGGGGCGGUCACACGGUGGUGGCAUGGGUGUCGUCAGCUCGGUGUCGUGCAGAUGGUUGGGUUAAAGUCCCCGCAACGGAGCCGCAAACCGCUCGUUCGAUGUGUGCCAGUCCGGUUCCGGCCGGGGGGAGGGCUCACUCGAAGAUUCUGGGGGGCCGGAGGCCUCAACUCAAGGCAGGGAAGGUGGGGAUGCACGUCAAGUCAUCACUGACGCCCUUAUUGGUUCCAGGGGGCCCCUUGCCCUAGCAGGAAAAAUGACUAUCAAUUACCCAGGCGGGCCGGUACAAUGGGCUGCCGAUACCGUGAGGUGAAGAGCGAAUCCCAAAAACGCCGGUCUCAGUUCGGAUCGGGGUCUGUUUCGAUACUCGACCCCGUGAAGUCGGAAGGU
rnacentral:rRNA from 1 species